CAAGCGUUGUUCGGAAUUACUGGGCGUAAAGGGCUCGUAGGUGGCCAACUAAGUCAUACGUGAAAUCCCUCGGCUUAACCGGGGAACUGCGUCUGAUACUGGAUGGCUUGAGGUUGGGAGAGGGAUGCGGAAUUCCAGGUGUAGCGGUGAAAUGCGCAGAUAUCAGGAAGAACACCCGUGGCUAAGGCGGCUCUCUAGUACGGUACUGACGCUGAGACGCGAAAGAGUGGGGAGCGAACAGG
rnacentral:rRNA from 1 species